GACGAACGCUGGCGGCGUGCUUAACACAUGCAAGUCGAACGGAAAGGCCCUGCUUUUGUGGGGUGCUCGAGUGGCGAACGGGUGAGUAACACGUGAGUAACCUGCCCUUGACUUUGGGAUAACUUCAGGAAACUGGGGCUAAUACCGGAUAGGAGCUCCUGCUGCAUGGUGGGGGUUGGAAAGUUUCGGGGGUUGGGGAUGGACUCGCGGCUUAUCAGCUUGUUGGUGGGGUAGUGGCUUACCAAGGCUUUGACGGGUAGCCGGCCUGAGAGGGGGACCGGGCACAAUGGGAAGGAGAUACGGCACAGAAUACAAAGGGAGGCAGCAGGGGGGAAUAGUGCAAAAUGGGAGGAAGCAGGAUGAAGAAAAGGCGGGGGGGGGAAGAAGGGCUUCGGGGUGGAAAAAGCAUUCGACUGGGAAGAAGCGUGAGUGACGGUAAUGGGUAAAGAAGAACCGGCUAACUACGUG
rnacentral:rRNA from 1 species